CCUACGGGUGGCAGCAGUGGGGAAUAUUGCGCAAUGGGCGAGAGCCUGACGCAGCGACGCCGCGUGAGGGAUGAAGGUCUUCGGAACGUAAACCUCUGUCAGCAGGGAAGAAAAUGACGGUACCUGACUAAGAAGCCCCGGCUAACUACGUGCCAGCAGCCGCGGUAAUACGUAGGGGGCAAGCGUUAUCCGGAUUUACUGGGUGUAAAGGGAGCGUAGACGGCAGCGCAAGUCUGGAGUGAAAUCCCAUGGCUUAACCAUGGAACUGCUUUGGAAACUGUGCAGCUAGAGUGCAGGAGAGGUAAGCGGAAUUCCUAGUGUAGCGGUGAAAUGCGUAGAUAUUAGGAGGAACACCAGUGGCGAAGGCGGCUUACUGGACUGUAACUGACGUUGAGGCUCGAAAGCGUGGGGAGCAAACAGGAUUAGAUACCCGGGUAGUC
rnacentral:rRNA from 1 species